rnacentral:misc_RNA from 1 species
GAUGAAGAACGCAGCGAAAUGCGAUAAGUAAUGUGAAUUGCAGAAUUCAGUGAAUCAUCGAAUCUUUGAACGCACAUUGCGCCCCUCGGUAUUCCGAGGGGCAUGCCUGUUCGAGCGUCAUUAUAACCCCUCAAGCUCAGCUUGGUGUUGGGGCCUGCUGCACUGGCAGCCCUUAAAAUCAGUGGCGGCGCCAUCUGGCUCUAAGCGUAGUAAUUCUUCUCGCUAUGGAGUCCUGGUGGAUGCUUGCCAUCAACCCCCAAUUUUUCUAUGGUUGACCUCGGAUCAGGUAGGGAUACCCGCUGAACUUAAGCAUAUCAAUAAGCGGAGGA